GCUUACUUCAGAUUAAUGAAAUCAAAUGGAACACGCUCCCCGGAGAAGCAGACUAAAUAAUCCCCCACCCCGGAGAUUGAAACCGAACAUCUCUAGCAUGACAUUUCUUCAUUGAAUUUUAAAACCAAACUGAAGCCUUUGCAACUGUUCUGAAAGCGGGAUAGUCUUUGAAUCAAUAAUAAAAUGGCAGUGGAAGAGAGUCUGACCUGGACCCUAAGAAGAGGCUGUCAAGGGCUCGCCAUGACUACCAGGGGCAGAUACGGGCUGAUGGGCACACAGGAAGAGGAUUAACAGAGUCAAUAGCUGUUUGAUGAAUUUCUCUGCAAAGAGAAGCCUGAAGGACACUGGCAGAAAGCAAUGAGGAACACAUAAAUGGCUGUGAGAAAGAGCCAAAUGCCCGAUUGCUGUUUCCUAAGAGACUAAAGCUCCCAGACUGCAGAAUGCACCACCGCUGCUGCUGCUGCUGCUGCUUAUAAAAGCUGCCGGAAAUGUACUUUCUUACCAAAACUCAAAGCAGGGCUACAAAUCAUCUACAGGAGACAAAAGACAAUAAGUAGUGUCAACACAGAGGGAUAUAUUUUACUCUGCCCUGCCAUGAGGA
rnacentral:lncRNA from 1 species